rnacentral:sRNA from 1 species
UCCAGACAGUGUGAUACUGGUAAAAGAACAGACAGAUUAAUGGAACGGAAUAGAGAACUCAGAAAUAGUGCACAAUGCAGAUCAUGUGUCUACACUAAAUUUGGCAUCAAUAUAGUGACCUCCCAGGAGUGGAGGGCCAUCAAUUUGCCUAAGUAGGGGUGAAGCGGCCCAGGUUGGAAAUGGAGUGGAUCAAAACUCCCAUGCUGAUCAGUAGUGAGAUUAUGCCUGUGCAUAGCCAACCAAUUCACUCUAGUCUGG